rnacentral:rRNA from 1 species
GAGCGUGCUUACUAUGCAAGUCGAGCGGUAAGGCCCUUCGGGGUACACGAGCGGCGAACGGGUGAGUAACACGUGGGUGAUCUGCCUCGUACUCUGGGAUAAGCCUGGGAAACUGGGUCUAAUACCGGAUAUGACCACGAAUCGCAUGGUUUGUGGUGGAAAGAUUUAUCGGUGCGAGAUGGGCCCGCGGCCUAUCAGCUUGUUGGUGGGGUAAUGGCCUACCAAGGCGACGACGGGUAGCCGGCCUGAGAGGGCGACCGGCCACACUGGGACUGAGACACGGCCCAGACUCCUACGGGAGGCAGCAGUGGGGAAUAUUGCACAAUGGGCGGAAGCCUGAUGCAGCGACGCCGCGUGAGGGAUGACGGCCUUCGGGUUGUAAACCUCUUUCGACAGGGACGAAGCGCAAGUGACGGUACCUGUAGAAGAAGCACCGGCCAACUACGUGCCAGCAGCCGCGGUAAUACGUAGGGUGCGAGCGUUGUCCGGAAUUACUGGGCGUAAAGAGCUUGUAGGCGGUUCGUCGCGUCGAUCGUGAAAACUUGCAGCUCAACUGCGAGCUUGCGGUCGAUACGGGCGGACUAGAGUACUGCAGGGGAGACUGGAAUUCCUGGUGUAGCGGUGAAAUGCGCAGAUAUCAGGAGGAACACCGGUGGCGAAGGCGGGUCUCUGGGCAGUAACUGACGCUGAGAAGCGAAAGCGUGGGUAGCGAACAGGAUUAGAUACCCUGGUAGUCCACGCCGUAAACGGUGGGCGCUAGGUGUGGGUUUCCUUCCACGGGAUCCGUGCCGUAGCUAACGCAUUAAGCGCCCCGCCUGGGGAGUACGGCCGCAAGGCUAAAACUCAAAGGAAUUGACGGGGGCCCGCACAAGCGGCGGAGCAUGUGGAUUAAUUCGAUGCAACGCGAAGAACCUUACCUGGGUUUGACAUACACAGAAAGCUGCAGAGAUGUAGCCCCCUUGGUGGUUGGGUGUAACAGGUGGGGCCAUG